rnacentral:rRNA from 1 species
CCCUUAGAUGUUCUGGGCCGCACGCGCGCUACACUGAUUCAUGCAACAAGUUUUGUCCUUGGCUGAUAGGCCUGGGUAAUCUUUGAACGUGAAUCGUGAUGGGGAUAGAUGAUUGCAAUUAUUCAUCUUCAACGAGGAAUUCCUAGUAAACGCAAGUCAUCAGCUUGCAUUGAUUACGUCCCUGCCCUUUGUACACACCGCCCGUCGCACCUACCGAUUGAAUGGUCCGGUGAAAUCUUCGGAUCUGAGAGAUGUCUGAUUAAUUUCGGACGCCUUUUGGAAAAGUUGCUUAAACCUUACCAUUUAGAGGAAGGAGAAGUCGUAACA